CCGAUCCCCCCUCCCUCAGCUCCGAUGCGCGGGAAGGGGCACAAGCGUCUCGCUGCACGGUCCUUCCAGCAGUGGCAGAAGCUCCACUACAAUGCACUGUGCGACCGUCAGAUGCCCACGCCGUUGCACGCGACGUUGCGACUCCCCGUACGUCGUGUGGCGCACCCGCCGUCGUCAUGUCCGUCAGCGCCGGCGUCUGUGGAUGUCCAGCUGGCGACGAACAGCAGCGCGGUGCUGCAGUGGUGGCAGCGCGAGUACGACCCUUUUCUUCUUGGGUGCGACGCUAGUGCGCAAAGGACGGCCGGCCCAACGCCGCCAGCGACGACCGCGACGCAUGUACUGGCCAGCACGCGCGUCAGUGCCCACGUUGGCCCGCCAGCACCGCCGCUGGGCUACCCCGAUUACAUCGCGAUAGAGGCAAGGCAGCACACGGAAGGUGUCCUGCGGGGCGAGACGUACGCCUACCACCACGCAGCGGCGGUAGGGACUGUCCCGGCGCCGCCACCGGGUGCGGCGUACCCUUCACCAGUGAAGUGGAUCCAGCAGCCAUUGCUGGACGGCUUCGUCGCGCAGCGCCUCACUGCCCACACCGGUGUGACGACCGGCUCGCUUCUCGACACCCGGCGUACGGCGAUGGCACUCGGUCGUCAGCUGCCGCCCGUUGAAUUAUCGCCGUUCUACGCGGCCAGUGCGUUGCUGGAUCGGUGGUGCCUUUUCGGCGAGGCGGCAGCAGUCGUGCCGUCCAUGCCGGCGUCAUCAGGCGCCACCUUGGAUGGGACACAGCAGCCGCACGAUGCGGCCGCGCAUCACCUCCGCAUCGCAGAGCUGGCGCUCGGGGCGGGGCUUCUGUCAAACUACCGCGCCGUGUGGCUGAACGGCGCCGUGCUCUCGCACCCCGGCACAGGCCGCUCUGUCCUUGUUGUCGGUCCCCGACGCAGCGGGAAGACUACGCUGGCGUUGCACUGCCUUUCGGCGGCUGCGAUCCAGGCGUCCAGCAGCGCGAGCGGCGACGGCGGUGUGCGGCUGACGGCGGUGGAACACUUCUUCCUCGCAUCUGGCAUGCCUGUUCGACGCAUGCUAGACCCUGCCAGCGCGCGGCUCGCAUCACCGACCAUCUUCGCGUGCUCACUGCCGCACCACAUCACCGUGGGCCUUGGCGCUGUGUUGGGCACCCUGCGGCCGAACCCUGGCUUGGCAGCCGCCGUGGAGCUCCCGCCCUUUCUCCAGUGCGAGGCCGGCCUACGCGCUUUCCUGCGCAACACCGACGGUGUGCUGUGGAACAUGAGCAAGACGUACCGCGUGCGACUCGAAGACACCUACAGAGCAUCCUCGCCUGACACCAGCACGCAGUGGGACCCCGUCGUCAUAAACACCCUGGCAGGCGUAGUGCUGCUCGACUGGAACGUGGAGGAGCUCGCCAGCACGUCGCCGACGCCGGUGCGCAACGCGGUUCGCAAGAUCCCACUGCACGACGGCGGCGUGGAAGAGCUCCUGAAGCGGGCACACGACUACAUGUUUCACGGGCAUCAUCUCCUGCGCACGGUCUACGACGCACCGCAGGACGCACCCGCACGGCUCGCAGGCGCUCUUGCAGAUGAGUGGGACACGGCGCAGCCCCAGUCCCUCGCUGACGGCACCGCGCCAGCCCUGCACUGCAUCGAAGGUUCUGUUAACUUCGACCUCGCCACGCAACUUAUCAUGAGCCUCCUCAGCGAACGUGCGUGAAAGAGCCCCCACCCACUCCCUCUCCCCCAGCGGCCCGCGACAGGCACACACACACACGCACGCGCACGUGACCUCCACUAAUCACCGCAACGUUCAACACCAAAAACAACACAGCAGUGAAAAGCGCGCCCACCAGCCAGCCAAACAACGCCAUCGACCCGGGCCGCUUUUGGGCCCGCCCGCCCACCGCACAUGCCAAAGAGCCGGCGAAACACAGAACCCGGCACGCCCCGAGAGCCCCGCACAGGCGGCGCGCAGGAAAAGGGCAACGCUGGCAACCAUUUCCCCCCAACGCGCCCACCCCCGCCCUUCCCCGAAACCCGCCGGCCACGCCCUCUCCCCCGGGCCGUGCCGGGGCCCCGCUCGCCAGGCUAGAGGCGACAAGCGCCCGCCGGGGACCGGCCCCCCGGGCGCGGCCCGGCACCGCGGGGGCGGUGGGGGGGGCCAGACCCCCCCCCGCGCAAACGCCCCGGAAAACGAUAAUUUACACACCCACAACACCCGCCCUUCUCUGAAAG
rnacentral:misc_RNA from 1 species